CAUUAGCUGAUCACACACACACACGCACCCCCCCCGGACAUUAGCUGAUCUCACACACACACACACACACACACACACCUGGACACACCUGGACAUUAGCUGAUCUGACCUCCAGGAGACUAAGAGCCUGAGGUUGAAACUUGCAAGGCAACCCCCCCAGUGAACUCUGAACUUGACUAGCUAGCUCCUCUCUGUAGGCAGAGUGCGGUGAAAUAGACAUUGUAAGAGAGAACUGUGCUGUUAUUCUUGUCUGAGGUUGUACUCCAAAUCCUCUUUCAUAAGAAAGACCUGAUUUUGAUGAACUUCUUAAACGUGGUCGUGUUGAGUUCACUGAUGGUAGUGUCCUCUUUGUUGUGAUCAGUAGACUGACUUGAGAAUCGUAUCCUCACUGUGUAAUAAGACUGGACACCACUGUUUGCCAUCUUUCCUCUUGUCAUCAUGCGUGUAGGGGUUGGAGGAGAGGGAAUCCAUUCCAGAUUCAUGAAUAAAUGAUUUUUAAAAUUCUGCCCUGAAUAAACUGCAGCUGAUAGUAACUUUUCUUUUAUCACUUUGGUAAUGUAAGCCUCAGGGUAAAAAAAAAAUAUGUGUUGAUAAGAAACAAGCUCCUAGAUCUUGUGGUAACAAAGAAGAAGGUUUUGUAUCAGUGUUGCUUUCAUUUCUAGACUGUUCUGUGAGGAUGGUCAAGACCUGGGAGCCGCUCUGGACUCACAAAUACACUCUUUCUACAUGGAGUAAUCAACGCUCCCUGUAGCGGGUCAUGGAGGGCUGCAUAUGUUAUAUAUUUCUUCCUGCGAUGUCUGUGUCUCAUUUCCACCUUGCAUUAUUUAAACCUCAGUUCUCAGCUCAGAGUUAAUGGACUCUUGAGGUGUUUGUUUCCUGUAACUCUUACGUAACCCACUUGCAGGUGUGGGAAAUCUCUUGUUCUCAGUUUGAAUCAUCACAAGCAACAGCUAAACAUAUAACCUGUGGUGGAAAACAUUUACUCCAUGCAAUUGAAAAUUCUGAAACAAACCAGAGCCUGGCACCUUCACUCUCGCUGGCUCCUGGCCCAGAGGAGAAUCCAGGAGGCUGUCUGCCCUCACCCAAAGAGUGAGCUUCCUGAGUCCACCGGCCUCCAGCCUCUCCCAGGGAAAGGUUUGGUGAAAGAAGCCAUCCUGCUUCACUUCCUGCGGAUCACUGGAUCGUGAUGCUUGGGCACUGCUGAUGGAAAAGAGAAACAUUUCAAAGAAAUAUGAGGUGCACGGCUCUUGUGGGCUGCCUGGUCAUCGAGAAUGAUGUCCAUGGGAGAGAAACCCAGCGUCCAGAUAAAAGAUUCUACAAGUUGCCUGAGAUCUCACAAAUGGGAUGAAACUCAGCCUUUUACUCCUGUUCCAUUUUUUCUUUCUAUUACAUGUUCUACUUAGUGGUUUCAGCGGCACCGUGAAACAGGGUAUAAAUUGGGUCUUUUAUAAAGAAGUGAAUGGAAUACAAGGUUCCAGAGCCAAACCAAACCUGCAAGUUUCCUGACACAGUGGACUAAAAUAAAAACCGGAGCGUGAAGAUGCUUCCUGGUUGGUUCAGUGGUGAAGAGUCCGCCUGUCAGUGCAGGGGACACAGCUUCGAUCCCUGGUCUGGGAGGAUCCCAUAGGCUGCAGAAAAACUAAGCCCAUGCCCCACAGUUAACUGAGACUGUGCCCCAGAGCCCAGGAGCCGCAACUGCUGAGCCCACAAGCUGCAACUGCUGAAGCCUGGGCACCAGAAAGUCUGCGCUCUGCAACAAGAGAAGGCACUGUAAACAGAAGCCCAAGCACAGUAACUAGAGAAAAGCCCACCCAGCAGUGAAAACCCAGCACAGUCAAAAUAAAUAAAUAAAGCUGGACGUAAAAAUGCCCUCUACAGUGAUCAUUCACAUGGGCAGGCAUG